CAAUAGCAAUGAUGGUCAAAGCUCAUGAAUAUUGUAGGUUUUUUGUCCUGCAAUUUUCUAGGGUU
rnacentral:sRNA from 25 species